AUUAAAACAACAAAAGGGUAUAUGGUGGAUGCCUAGGUAAUAGAAGCCGACGAAGGACGCAGUAACCUUGCGAAACGCCUCGGGGAGCUGGUAAACAAGCUUUGAUCCGGGGAUGUCCGAAUGGGGAAACCUAUAUCGCGGAAGGCGAUAUGUUUUUGUAUCGUGGGAUACAAAAAACGGGAACCAUGCGAAGUGAAACAUCUCAGUAGCAUGUGGAAAAUAAAUCAAUCGAGAUUCCGUUAGUAGUGGCGAGCGAACGCGGAAGCAUAUGAAAUGUAAAAGUAAAAAUUCAAAGUGAAAAAUUUUGGAACCCCUCUGGGGUAUCUAUAUUUUAAAUUUUGAUUUUUACAUUUUGCAUUUUCAUUAGCCCAAACCUGCUUUAGUGUUACUUAAGUCGCAAGACAAGAGUUUAAAGAUUACAGUCGUUGCUAAGCAGGUGUUAUAAGUGAAGGUGGUUCGCGGAUCUGUAAAUCCGUGAGGGGUUAGUGUGUGCUAUGUAGCAGAACACGCCUGGAAAGGCGGACCAAAGAGGGUGAUAGUCCCGUAUAGCGAAACAUCAUGCAGUGCCUCACAUUUUUUCUUGAGUACAACCAGACACGAGAAAUCUGGUUGGAAGUCAGGUCGACUAAGAUCUAAGGCUAAAUACUUCUAUUGACCGAUAGUGAACAAGUACCGUGAGGGAAAGGUGAAAAGCACCCCGUUAAGGGGAAUGAAAUAGUUUCUGAAACCAUAUACUUACAAGGAGUCAGAGCCCUAAUCUUGAGCUUUAUUGCUCAGGGCGGGUGAUGGCGUGCCUAUUGAAGAAUGAUCCAACGAGUUAAUCUUAUGCGGCUUGAUUAAGUUACAUCAGUAACGAAAUCGUAGUGAAAGCGAGGAUGAAUAGUCCGUAAAAAGUUAAAAAUUAAAAGUUCAAAGUGAAAGAUUAUAGAGUCACCCUUUGGGUGAUGCUCAUAGUUUAAAUUUUGACUUUUAAACUUUUAACUUUUAUGUCGCAUGAGUUAGACCCGAAACCCGAGUGAGCUACGCAUGGCCAGGAUGAACCCCGUAUAACAGCGGGGGGAGGUCCGAACCCACUAAUGUUGCAAAAUUAGGGGAUGAGCUGUGCGUAGGGGAGAAAUUCCAAUCGAACCGGGUGAUAGCUGGUUCUCCUCGAAAUAGCUUUAGGGCUAGCGUCGAGAGUUCCUUUGAGAGGUAGAGCACUGAAUCGAAACCUGCUUCGCAAGAGGUAGGCUCGAACCAAACUCCGAAUUCUCAAAGUCAAGAUCUCGGCAGUCAGUCCGUGGGCGCUAAGGUCCACCGGACAAAUGGAGAAGAGUCCACACCACCGUCUAAGGCCCCCAAAUCCUAGCUAUAGUGCAAAGGAUGUGGGGUUGCUCAUACAACCAGGAGGUUGGCUUAGAAGCAGCCAUCCUUUAAAGAAAGCGUAACAGCUCACUGGUCAAGCGAUCCUGCGCCGACAAUAUAUAGGGGCUAAGCUAGGUGCCGAAGACGUGGAUUUAUCCCGCUUUUAGCGGGGUAAGUGGUAGAGGAGUGUUGUAUGCAGGAUGAAGGCGUACUCGUAAGAGAUGCUGGACAGCAUACAAGUAAGAAUGUUGGAAUAAGUAAUAUAUAUAGAGGUGAGAAUCCUCUUCGCCGAAUAUCCAAGGUUUCCAGGGCAACGAUCGUCGUCCCUGGGUUAGUCGAUCCUAAGUUUGGGCCCCAAGGGGUACAAGCGAUGGAAAACAUGGUUGAUAUUCCAUGACCACCUACAAAUUACUUAAGGCGGGACGGAUUUUGGUAACAUGAGCAUAAUCUGACUAUUUAUGUUCCUGUAAGCGUAGGGCGGACCUUUAGGCAAAUCCGAAGGUCCCUGGUGAUUUAUAUUCUACCUCGCAAGAGAUGAAUAUAGAGAGCCUAAAGCCUGAAUUUAUGGGAAAACCGGGCAACUGGAAUUUAUGUGAACCAAAGUCUCAAGAAAAGCGUCGUAAUUAUGUUUGUAGGUGACCGUACCGUAAACCGACACAGGUGGAUGGGGAGAGAAUCCCAAGGCGUCCGGCACAAUGUUCGUUAAGGAACUCGGCAAAAAAGCAGGUGUACCUUAGGUAUAUACCUUGCCCUUUUUUCUGAGAUUAUAUCAAAGGGAAAAAGGGCCGCAGCGAAAGACCUCUCCCGACUGUUUACCAAAAACUUAGGUCCGUGCUAAAGCGCAAGCUGAUGUAUACGGGCUGAUGCCUGGCCAGUGUCAGAAGGUCAAACCACUUGUCGCAAGAUAGGUGGCCAAGCCCUGAUGAACGCCGGCAGUAACUAUAACUGUCCUAUGGUAGCGAAAUUCCUUGUCGCGUAAGUUGCGACCCGCACGAAUGGCAUAACGAGUAGAGGACUGUCUUAACGAACAAGCCGAUGAACUUACAAUGGCGGUGAAGAUGCCGUCUUACCCGCAGCAAGACGGAAAGACCCUAUGAAGCUUUACUAUAGCUUGUCAUUGAAAUUACGUUUUUAUUGCUUAGUAUAGGUGGGAGCCUUUGAAGUUUAGGUUCUGGCUUAAACAGAGGCGAAAUGUGAAAUACCACCCUGUAAGAAUGUGAUUUCUAACCACGGUUUAACCUCCCGUGAGACAGUGACUGGUGGGUAGUUUAACUGGGGCGGUUGCCUCCUAAAUGGUAACGGAGGCGUUUAUUAAGGUAGGCUAGGUAUGGAUGGAAAUCAUACCGAUAGUGCAAACGCAUAAGCCUGCUUGACUGCAAGGGCGGCGACCCGCGCAGGCACGAAAGUGGAAGUUAGUGAUCCGAUGCGUUCGAGUGGAAGACGCAAAGCCCAACGGAUAAAAGUUACUCUAGGGAUAACAGGCUGAUCUUCUCCAAGAGUCCAUAUCGACGAGAAGGUUUGGCACCUUAAACCUCAAAAUCGGGGUGCUAUGAGAGUGAUCUCAUACCAGUGUCUUAGUUCCGUCUUUCCCAAAGUAAAGCUUGGGAAGAUAAAUAAAUCUAAGAAAAUAAAAUCGGCUUAUAACGGAGAACCCGUAGUUAAUUAUAUGUGAAAUUUUAGUAUCUAAUUAACCGGCAACCCCGUGGGAAGUCGUUUAGAAUUAAGAAUUAUGAAUUAAGAAUUAUGAAUGACUGCAUACUGCAUUUAUUCUAAAUUCUGCAUUCUAAAUUCUGCAUUCUGAACUGACCCCGUAACGACUGACCCGAAAGGGAAGAUUUAAAUGAAGAAUGAAGAAUUGUGAAUGAAGAAUGUCUGCAGAAAUGCAUUUCAUUCUGCAUUUUAAAUUUCUAAAUCUGCAUUUUUAUAACACGCCGACUCUUGUCUUAAAAAGACAGGCUAUGUCUCGCAAAGAGACUAAGGCCGUCGACAAGAAGAUGAUAUAGUCUACGCCAUAAGAAAUUAUGGAAUUAAGUACGAUGUCGGCUCAUCGCAUCCUGGGGGUGAAGAAGCUCCCAAGGGUUCUGCUGUUCGCAGAUUAAAGCGGUACGCGAGCUGGGUUCAAAACGUCGUGAGACAGUUUGGUCCUUAUCUGCUGUGGGUGUACGAAACUUGAGUGGUCGCAUCUUUAGUACGAGAGGACCGAGAUGCAUAGACCUCUGGUGUACCCGUUGUCCUGUCCAGGGCAUGGCGGGGUAGCUAGGUCUAGUUAGGAUAAGCGCUGAAGGCAUAUAAGCGUGAAGCCGUCCACAAGACUAGGUUUCGAUUAUCUCUUUAUUGAGAUAUACAGGUUCGCGGAAGACUACCGCGUAUUUUACUAGCCGGUAGCGAGUAGUAAGUAGUUAGUAGCAGCAAUGCUACAAGCUACGAGCUACAAACUACAAGCUGGUCUAUAGGUUGCAGGUGUAAGAACAGUAAUGUUUUCAGCCGAGCAAUACUAAUCAACCGAAAUGUUUUAAUAA
rnacentral:rRNA from 1 species